rnacentral:rRNA from 1 species
UACGUAGGGGGCAAGCGUUGUCCGGAAUCAUUGGGCGUAAAGAGCGUGUAGGCGGCCCGGUAAGUCCGCUGUGAAAGUCGAGGGCUCAACCCUCGAAUGCCGGCGGAUACUGUCGGGCUAGAGUCCGGAAGAGGCGAGUGGAAUUCCUGGUGUAGCGGUGAAAUGCGCAGAUAUCAGGAGGAACACCUACGGCGAAGGCAGCUCGCUGGGACGGUACUGACGCUGAGACGCGAAAGCGUGGGGAGCAAACAGGAUUAGAAAC